rnacentral:rRNA from 1 species
CCUACGGGUGGCAGCAGUCGAGAAUUAUUCACAAUGGGGGAAACCCUGAUGGUGCGACGCCGCGUGGGGGAAUGAAGGUCUUCGGAUUGUAAACCCCUGUCAUGUGGGAGCAAAUUAAAAAGAUAGUACCACAAGAGGAAGAGACGGCUAACUCUGUGCCAGCAGCCGCGGUAAUACAGAGGUCUCAAGCGUUGUUCGGAAUCACUGGGCGUAAGGCGUGCUUAGGCUGUUUCGUAAGUCGUGUGUGAAAGGCGCGGGCUCAACCCGCGGACGGCACAUGAUACUGCGAGACUAGAGUAAUGGAGGGGGAACCGGAAUUCUCGGUGUAGCAGUGAAAUGCGUAGAUAUCGAGAGGAACACUCGUGGCGAAGGCGGGUUCCUGGACAUUAACUGACGCUGAGGCACGAAGGCCAGGGGAGCGAAAGGGAUUAGAUACCCCAGUAGUC